CCUACGGGAGGCAGCAGUGGGGAAUAUUGGUCAAUGGGCGCGAGCCUGAACCAGCGAAGUAGCGUGAAGGAUGACUGCCCUACGGGUUGUAAGCUUCUUUUAUAAAGGAAUAAAGUGCGGCACGUGUGCCUUUUUGUAUGUACUUUAUGAAUAAGGCUCGGCUAACUACGUGCCAGCAGCCGCGGUAAUACGGAGGUUCCGAGCGUUAUCCGGAUUUAUUGGGUGUAAAGGGAGCGUAGACGGGUGGUUAAGUCAGGUGUGAAAGUUUGCGGCUCAACCGUAAAAUUGCAAUUGAUACUGGCAGGCUUGAGUACAGGUGAGGUAGGCGGAAUUCGUGGUGUAGCGGUGAAAUGCGUAGAUAUCACGAAGAACUCCGAUUGCGAAGGCAGCUUACUAAACUGCCACUGACAUUGAGGCUCGAAAGUGUGGGUAUCAAACAGGAUUAGAUACCCGAGUAGUC
rnacentral:rRNA from 1 species